rnacentral:rRNA from 1 species
CUUUUAACAAUGGAUCUCUAGGCUCUCAUAUCGAUGAAGAACACAGUGAAAUGUGAUAAUUAAUGUGAAUUGCAGAAUUCAGUGAAUCAUCAAGUUUUUGAACGCACCUUGCACCUUUUGGUAUUCCAAAAGGUACACCUGUUUGAGUGUCAUGA